rnacentral:rRNA from 1 species
GAUGAACGCUGGCGGCGUGCCUAAUACAUGCAAGUCGAGCGAACGGACGAGAAGCUUGCUUUUCUGAUGUUAGCGGCGGACGGGUGAGUAACACGUGGAUAACCUACCUAUAAGACUGGGAUAACUUCGGGAAACCGGAGCUAAUACCGGAUAAUAUUUUGAACCGCAUGGUUCAAAAGUGAAAGACGGUCUUGCUGUCACUUAUAGAUGGAUCCGCGCUGCAUUAGCUAGUUGGUAAGGUAACGGCUUACCAAGGCAACGAUGCAUAGCCGACCUGAGAGGGGGACCGGCCCCCCUGGACUUGAGCCCCGGGCCAAGACCCCCGGGGGGGCAGGAGGGGGGAAUUUCCCGCAAGGGGCGAAAGCCUGCGGGAGCAACCCCGGGUGGGUGAUGAGGUUCUUCGGAUCGUAAACCUCUUUUUUUUGGGAAGAAAAUAUGGGUAAGUAACGGGGCCACUCUUGGCGGUACCUAAGCAAAAAGCCCCGGCUAACUCCGU